rnacentral:misc_RNA from 1 species
GAUGAAGAACGCAGCGAAAUGCGAUAAGUAAUGUGAAUUGCAGAAUUCAGUGAAUCAUCGAAUCUUUGAACGCACAUUGCGCCCUCUGGUAUUCCGGGGGGCAUGCCUGUUCGAGCGUCAUUAUAACCACUCAAGCUCUCGCUUGGUAUUGGGGUUCGCGGUUCCGCGGCCCCUAAAAUCAGUGGCGGUGCCUGUCGGCUCUACGCGUAGUAAUACUCCUCGCGAUUGAGUCCGGUAGGUCUACUUGCCAGCAACCCCCAAUUUUUACAGGUUGACCUCGGAUCAGGUAGGGGUACCCGCUGAACUUAAGCAUAUCAAUAAGCGGAGGA